rnacentral:rRNA from 1 species
AGUAGGGAAUCUUCCACAAUGGGCGCAAGCCUGAUGGAGCAACACCGCGUGAGUGAAGAAGGGUUUCGGCUUCGUAAAGCUCUGUUGUUAAAGAAGAACACGUAUGAGAGUAACUUGUUCAUACGUUGACGGUAUUUAACCAGAAAGUCACGGCUAACUACGUGCCAGCAGCCGCGGUAAUACGUAGGUGGCAAGCGUUAUCCGGAUUUAUUGGGCGUAAAGAGAGUGCAGGCGGUUUUCUAAGUCUGAUGUGAAAGCCUUCGGCUUAACCGGAGAAGUGCAUCGGAAACUGGAUAACUUGAGUGCAGAAGAGGGUAGUGGAACUCCAUGUGUAGCGGUGGAAUGCGUAGAUAUAUGGAAGAACACCAGUGGCGAAGGCGGCUACCUGGUCUGCAACUGACGCUGAGACUCGAAAGCAUGGGUAGCGAACAGGAUUAGAUACCCUGGUAGUCCAUGCCGUAAACGAUGAGUGCUAGGUGUUGGAGGGUUUCCGCCCUUCAGUGCCGGAGCUAACGCAUUAAGCACUCCGCCUGGGGAGUACGACCGCAAGGUUGAAACUCAAAGAUU